UACGGAAGGGGCAAGCGUUGUUCGGAAUUAUUGGGCGUAAAGGGCGCGUAGGCGGUCUUGUGUGUCUGCUGUGAAAGCAUGCGGCUCAACCGCAGAGGGUCGGUAGAAACUGCAAGACUCGAGGCUGGGAGGGGCUGGUGGAAUUCCCUGUGUAGCGGUGAAAUGCGUAGAUAUAGGGGAGAACACUCGUGGCGAAGGCGGCCAGCUAGACCAGUCCUGACGCUGAGGCGCGACAGCGUGGGGAGCUAACAGG
rnacentral:rRNA from 1 species